CACGAUUAGGUUCCAGAUCCGAUCAGCCAGGAAGUGGGUUUUUUUCAUUCUGACCUGCUGUGGCGAGGAAGGGAGGGACAAACAGGUGGGCUGGGUUCUUGCCUUCCCUUCUCUCCCCUAGGAUCCCCCAAGAAAAAGUCCAGUGUCUUGAGAUGUGGGGACUCUGAGGCUGGCCGGAAGUGCUGCCCCUCUCCGGAGUGGAGAGGGGUCCCCGACUGCUCCAUGCCCACCUCUCCUUUCCUCCAUGCCCCACACCAGCUGAGCUGUUCUUGGCAGCAGCAUCUCCUGGGCCUGCAGCCCUUCUUGUCCCCUUCUAUGACCUCCCAGCCCUGACCACCCACCUGGGUCUGUCCCACAGAGCCUGGCAGCAGCCCCUGCCCAGCCCCGCUGGCUGGCUUGCUUGGGGCCAGUGCCUUUCCCCUGAUAUCAGCCACCUUUCCUGGGAGACUGCAGGCUCCUGAGUCUGGGGGUGGAAAUGUUCUGUCCCUUCCUAUCCCCAGAGCUGGGCUGAGCCACGCUGGCCUCCGUCUCCUGCCCCAGUGCAUAAGUGCCCAUCCACGCUCAGGUGACGCGCACAGGCACGCAUGUGUGGGUGUGAAGAGCUCUGCUUUUCCCCUAGGAUUUCCCCCCCACACUGGAAAAGAUGAACGGUUAACUCUGGGAAAACUAAGGAGGUGGCAGUGGUGAGAGGCCCAGCCAGGGUCUCUGGUCUCUUUAUUAAAAAUCAAGGUGUUCCCCCCACACUGGACCAUGGCGUGGGGCCACAGGCUGCGUGGGCACCUGCCUGGGGGACAUGGCAGCAUCCCCUGGCCUUCGUGUAGCAUCUUCAGUUGUCAUGGCGGCUCCUGAGGCUGUGUGCGCUACACCUUAAAGGGUGUCAGAGCCCAGGGGAUUGGCAGAUGGCGCUGUCCUCUCCUGAUUAGCGCCGCACGAGGUGGUGGGAGACAGAAGUGCGGGUGGGGCUCCUGUCCCCCAAAGGCUGGAGCUGCGCCGGCUGAGUGGCCUGGGGAAGGGGGGAAGUGCGUGUGAAUGGAGGGAGGCAGCCCACAGCUGUGAAGGAGGGUUCUGGAGGGCCAGGAGCGGGCUCAGGGUGGGGGCCAGUUCCUUUUCAUCUCGUGGCCCUGGCUGGGGCUGUGAGGCGACUCCCUGAUUGUCCACGCGGGGUUGUGGGGGUGCAGCUAGGAUUGGGAGCAAGAGCCAGUGGCUUCAUCUGGGUCAUAGAGCACUAGUGGGUGAGGAGGGACACCUGGGGAGGGCUGCCUCUCCCCACCCAUGGGCCUGCUCCCCUUCCCACUGAUCAGAGGGAAAUCGGGCCCAGGGAGAAGGCCGGGUGCGAAUCAGCUGCCUCACCCUCUGCGACGUCUCCAUCCACAGGCCGGCCCUGCAAGCACCUCCCCAGCAGGCUGGGCUGUGCCAGCGAGGGGGAGACCAUGGCCCUAGGACUCAUGUCACCAGGCAACAGCGCUGCCUCAGGCCCUUCACAUUGU
rnacentral:lncRNA from 1 species